rnacentral:lncRNA from 1 species
CAGCUGUGGCCCUCCUUUCCUUCUCCUGUACAUGUAACUGUGAUCUUUCAGGUAUCUCUAUCUAUCUUUUAUCCCUUUUAGGUUCAUGUUCUUUUAUUUUUAGGAUUUGGGUAAAAUAUCCUUUUUGGUGCAUUUUUUAGUGGUAGAUGGUGCCAAUCAUUUAAAAGUAGGUUUUGACAUGGUACCUAACCGAAGACGCUUCGCUCAAACCUUAGCUACUCAUCCGUCUUCACCACUAGUGGAGAGGAGGCCACUCGGGAAGCCUGUGUCAUGUGUGGUCAUCAAGGAUGGAGCAGGGUGCGCGGGUGUUCACCUCCCCCUCGGUCGUUUGGGUGGCGCAGUGGCGGGAGAUGGUCAUUGGCUUGGCAUGCGGUUCUCUACUUCGAUGGGUCACAUCAUAUCUUAAGGUCGUGCCCCUCCUACCUUUCGAGCGCCAGCCUGCCGAGUGUGAUCCAAGCCUUUGGCCGCCGGGGGUUUGUCGUUGGUUGGGGUGCUGGAGGGGUGGCUAAAUCUGAGAGAAAUCUUUGGUUGGUGUUGCCAGCCACAAUCUUGAUGACUCCAGCGGGUGUCGUCUCCCUCCUUAUAGGCGCCAUCGAGGUACCUACCCCUUCCUCGUCCUCAGGUGAAAGAAUUUAUCUGUUAUGGAGUGGACGGCAACAUGCGUUCUCACCUUCUUCGAGGCAUCAUUUUGGGAUAGAAGGGUCUACAAGUCGAGGUGUUGUGGUUGAUGGACACCCGGUGGCGGUGUGGUUCGAGUUGCCGUCAAGGUCUUGCGAGUCGACAUGUUUCCGGCUCAAUUGCAACUCCUUUUGGUCAUUCGCGCUCGGUUUGUGUGGGCUUGCUCAUCAGCGGGCCAGUGCCCUAAAAUCUGGGCGAGGAGGAGAUAGGCCCCCCAACUGUAGCAACAUGGCUAUGGUAGUAUGGAGAUGGUGCCGAUCUCUACACACUCGAAUAUCUCUCGUAGCAAUGGAUGCAACAACUCAUAUCCAUUGUGCCUUCUUCUUCGAGGUUCUCAUCCUUAGCAACGUUUACUCUUCGUGGGUGGAUCAUGAGUUUUGACAAGGCUCCUAUCAAGGCGAGAAGUGGGUGAUCAGGCUAAGAAUCACCCAUGGUGGCCCGAGGUCGGUACCCACUCCGACUCUAGGGUGAACAACAUGAAAGGCAGGGGUCCCUUUAAGAUGUGGAACAGGCUGGCACAACGUCGAUUCACCUCUCCCAGAGCAAAUAUGGAUGUGUUUCACCCUGCUGGUUGUGUAUUAACCCCAAGAUCUUGCUUUUGCUUGCACUCUAGAGAUUCGUUCGUGAUGGAGGGCAUCAUCAACAUCAAGUUGGACCCUCUCUCAUUUUCACUUGUCGCUUGCUUGUUGUUCAUAUUGCUUAUAAGUUGGUCAAUCAACUCAUUGUACCCGUUGUUUUGGGAUUUAUUAAUUUAAAGUCAGGCUUACGCCUUUCGUCUAAAAUACAGGUUCUGAAAUUUCAGAACACCACUGCUUUAAACAUUGCAUCCAAAUCAAAAUAGAUUUUCACAUUGUCUUUCUUUCGACGAGUAUUCAAAACAAGAUGAUGAUUUUAUAAGUUUUCAAUAUUGUUUUUCUCCAUUUUACACUAGUUGCUAUUGUAUUUACUGCAUUUUUACACUAAUUUUUUUCUGGUGUGCUUUUAUAGUUAUGUGUGCUGUUUUGACAGUGUAAAUCCUAGCUAUGUAGAGGCCGUUUGUAUGCUAUUUUGUGUUUGUAACCUGUUGAUGCUCCAUUUUGAAUCAAAAAUUCAUCCUUUGUCGAAAAAUGUAUGUUUUUUUGGCCUGUUAUUUUGGUUCCUAGUGUUUAUUUUGUAUCCUACUGUGUUUUACAUAGUUUUCACCAUAUUUUGAUGUUACUUUGCACUUUAAUUUUACACUAGUUUCAGUUGCAUCUUUGCACUAGUUGAUGGUGCGUCUUUAUACAGUUCUCUACUGUAUUUUUACAUUAGUCUCUAGGUUCUAUUGCACCUUUGGGGUCUACUGGAUUUUACAAUAGUUAUCGCUACAUUUUUGCACUGUUUUCGACCUCAUCUUUACGCUAGUUUCUGUUGCAUCUCUACACUAGUUCCAGGGAGUGCAUGUGUCAAUUUAGUAUUUGUCGGUGGGUGCUUAAGAAAUAAAUUCGGCACACAGAUAAUGUUGCAUUUUAUUACUGAGAAUCUGCUUGGACAAUGUUGUAUUUUAUUUAUGAGAGUCUGCUUGGACAAUGUUGUAGAUAAUAGGACUACUACUUUAGAAGGACAACACCCUUCUUUAUCGUCAUGGAGGCAAUGGAAGAGUUUGGGCAUUCAGUUGCUCACGGGGCUGGGCAUCACCAUCAUCAUAUCAGUACUUUUGGAAGCUCUUGAGCUGGACGACGACCUGUCCCUCUAUCUCACCAAUUUCUUCAAUGUCGUAUACAUGCUUGCCGCUGUUGUUGCUUCAAAAGAAGGCCUAUACGGGUUCUCUGCAGCCGAGAAGGCAUGGUUAAUCGUUAGCGAAAAGUUCUAUGAGAUAACUGUGGUGGGCGCGAUGAUUUUUGUCGUCCAGGGAAGUCUAGAAGAAGCCUACGCAAGUGCAAGAUUUUUACCUCGAAAGAAGGAAGUGGUGGUGGCGCUGGUGAUAAUGGAGGACACGGCGGCUG